ACGAACGCUGGCGGCGUGCUUCACACCUGCAAGUCGCACGGAAAGGCCCUGCUUUUGUGGGGUGCUCGAGUGGCGAACGGGUGAGUAACACGUGAGUAACCUGCCCUUGACUUUGGGAUAACUUCAUGAAACUGGGGCUAAUACCGGCUAGGAGCUCCUUCUGCAUGGUGGGGGUUGGAAAGUUUCGGCGGUUGGGGAUGGACUCGCGGCUUAUCAGCUUGUUGGUGGGGUAGUGGCUUACCAAGGCUUUGCCGGGUAGCCGGCCUGAGAGGGUGACCGGCCACAUGGGGACUGAGAUACGGCCCAGACUCCUACGGGAGGCAGCAGUGGGGAAUAUUGCACAAUGGGCGGAAGCCUGAUGCAGCAACGCCGCGUGCGGGAUGACGGCCUUCGGGUUGUAAACCGCUUUCGCCUGUGACGAAGCGUGAGUGACGGUAAUGGGUAAAGAAGCACCGGCUAACUACGUG
rnacentral:rRNA from 1 species